GAACUCGGCAAACCAGAUGUUGCGCCGGUUGUUGUCCAGCGUGCGGCUGGAGAAGUAGCGGUCGAAGCCUGGCAGGGAACCAGGACGUCAGGGCCUCACUGGCCUUCUUCCCCACCAGCCCCAGCCCUCCCCGCCUCCCCCAGGAUAAGAGAUGGUCCAGGCGGAGGGAGAGAGACCAGGAGGAGCACAUCCUCUGAUCCAGGAGAAAACAAAAUGUGGAGCAUUUCGUUUCUUUCAAAAUGAAAAGAGCUGUAUUAGGUCCCAGGGGGAUCGUGUGUAAUCUACAACUGCUGCCUUUAUGGAAGAGAAGCACACCGAUGAGGAUGUUUCCACGGCCUUUAACCGCUGCAAUGCUAACAGCGGGCUUUGAGAAGGAGCCGCCUGGGAGUCCUGAGAUUACAGCACAGAGGCUGGUGGGGCUGCCCAACCCGGGGAGCACCUGAAGAGGAGACCAGGCCAGACAAGGAGGGAGGGAACCACCCAGAUCACACAGCAAGACCAGGACCUGGACCUUCUUCCUUCACAUCCAGGACGUCCCCAUCACUGACAGAGGCUGCCUGCCUCCUCCACAUGCUCUGCGUGGCUCACACUUCUGCUCUCAGCCUUGGAAAGCCUGUCCUAGGGUGGGCAGGCUGGCGGUGAACAACACCCCCUCCUCCUCCCAGACGCCCCCCUGCCAUACUGACUGUUCUAGGCACUGUGGACUGAGCUGCUCUGUAUGGGCCAGAGGCCUGAAAGCUCAGCGGGGCCACGUGGAGCUUCCUGCCCAUGGAAGCGUCCAAGUGGAAGCAAAAUGACCGGCCACGUGGCAGGAGACGCACUGGCAUCGAGCAGGAGGUUUGGCCUGCAGUAGGAUUUCUCAGCCUCGGCACUGUGGACGCUCUGGGCGGGAUAAUUCCUGUGGGGGGCCAUCCUGUGCACCGUACGAUACUGAGCAGUACCCCGACCUCUACCCACUGGAGGCCAGCAGCAGCAUCCCCCAACUGUGACAACCAAAAAUGGCUCCAGAAAUUGCCAAAUAUCCCCUUGGGGGGCAAAAUCGCCCCCAGAUAAGGACCAUUGUUCUAAAAGUUUCUCUAAUGUUCCUGAGAGAAAAAGUACUUGUCAGGCAAGUCCUGGAUUCUGGUCCCAACUCUGCCACUCGCUGUACUGUGUGUGUCUCAAGCUCUCUGAGCCCUGUGUAUCCAUCUACUAAAUGCGGGGAAGAGUGCAUCACAGGGAUGCUGGGGAGGCUAAAGGAGAUGUCUGUAAGGGGCCUGGCACUGCUGGGGGCGAAGCCUGAAUGUAAAUAAUGGAGCCCAGGCAGCAGUGUUGUGGCCAGAGGGGGUUUCAAGUGAUACUCUGUGCUCAGCGUCCACACGCGUGGGGUGGGUACCCACGUGCACCUGGACGUCUCCCUCCGUCCUGCCUUCUGCUGGGAUUUUACUUUCUCCACCAAGACAUCAAUUCCUUAUCAUGAGUGCUCAGGAAAUCGGCCUGCAAAGGAUGAGCAAGUGAAGAAAGGUGCAUGCUGGCUGUGCAAAGGCACCGGGUCACAAGGGCCCUGCCUGAAGACAG
rnacentral:lncRNA from 1 species